UUGUGGAGGAGGACGCCGAAGGUGGGGCUAAUGACUGGGGUGAAGUCGUAACAAGGUAGCCGUACCGGAAGGUGCGGCUGGAUCACCUCCUAACAGGGAGACAACAAAAUGUUUAAUAUUAUUAUUUUGUCACCUUAGGUCGAUCGGUAUCUCACAUUCUUAAAUUUUAAGGAUUUUAUUUCCUAAGUUUUUCUAGGUCACACCCAUUAUUUUUCCUGGGCCAUUAGCUCAGGUGGUUAGAGCGCACCCCUGAUAAGGGUGAGGUCCCUGGUUCAAGUCCAGGAUGGCCCAUCUAUCUCUAUGUUGGGGGUAUAGCUCAGUUGGUAGAGCGCCUGCUUUGCAAGCAGGAUGUCAGCGGUUCGAGUCCGCUUACCUCCACUGAUUACCACCUCUUUCAUAAUUUGUAGAAAGGGAAUUUUUGGUUGUGAUCAAAUUCUGAACGAAUCUAGCCUCCUAAUGAAAUCAUUAAGAUGCUGGACUCAGUGAAUUAACUUCAUUGUUUUCAGAGAACCUUGACAACUGCAUAGAUUAUUUUUAAAGACAAUAGGCAUCUUAAAUGAUGCAGAUUUAUUAUUUGUGCGAAUGCAUUAAUAACAAUUCUAUUAAGCUGAUGCUUCAAUUUUUGAAGUUAUUGGGCAAGCUACAA
rnacentral:misc_RNA from 1 species